rnacentral:piRNA from 1 species
UGGAGAUGUGGGACACUGGGAAAGGAC